rnacentral:rRNA from 1 species
UACGAAGGGUGCAAGCGUUAAUCGGAAUUACUGGGCGUAAAGCGUGCGCAGGCGGCUUUGCAAGACAGAUGUGAAAUCCCCGGGCUCAACCUGGGAACUGCAUUUGUGACUGCAAGGCUAGAGUGCGGCAGAGGGGGAUGGAAUUCCGAGUGUAGAGGUGAAAUUCGUAGAUAUUCGGAGGAACACCAAUGGCGAAGGCAAUCCCCUGGGCCUGUACUGACGCUCAUGCACGAAAGCGUGGGGAGCAAACAGG